rnacentral:rRNA from 1 species
UGGGGAAUUUUGGACAAUGGGCGCAAGCCUGAUCCAGCCAUGCCGCGUGCGGGAAGAAGGCCUUCGGGUUGUAAACCGCUUUUGUCAGGGAAGAAAUCUUCUGAGUUAGUACCUCGGGAGGAUGACGGUACCUGAAGAAUAAGCACCGGCUAACUACGUGCCAGCAGCCGCGGUAAUACGUAGGGUGCAAGCGUUAAUCGGAAUUACUGGGCGUAAAGCGUGCGCAGGCGGUUUUGUAAGACAGAGGUGAAAUCCCCGGGCUCAACCUGGGAACUGCCUUUGUGACUGCAAGGCUUGAGUGCGGCAGAGGGGGAUGGAAUUCCGCGUGUAGCAGUGAAAUGCGUAGAUAUGCGGAGGAACACCGAUGGCGAAGGCAAUCCCCUGGGCCUGCACUGACGCUCAUGCACGAAAGCGUGGGGAGCAAAACAGGAUUAGAUACCCUGGUAGUCCACGCCCUAAACGAUGUCAACUGGUUGUUGGGAAGGUUCCUUCUCAGUAACGUAGCUAACGCGUGAAGUUGACCGCCUGGGGAGUACGGCCGCAAGGUUGAAACUUAAAGGAAUUGACGGGGU